UCCUUCUUAGCUCAGUUGGUAGAGCGCGUCACUAGUACAUACCAUGUUUGUAUUUAUAUGACGAGGUCAGUCGUUCGAGUCGGCUAGAAGGAA